CAGAGCUAGGGAGUGGGAGAGGUAGACGGUACUCGGGAGGAAGUGGUAAAAUGCUUUGAUCUCUCGAUGACCACCUGUGGCGAAGGCGGUCUACCAGAACACGUCCGACGGUGAGGGAUGAAAGCUGGGGGAGCAAACCGGAUUAGAUACCCGGGUAGUCCCAGCUGUAAACUAUGCAAACUCAGUGAUGCACUGGCUUGUGGCCAGUGCAGUGUUGCAGGGAAGCCGUUAAGUUUGCCGCCUGGGAAGUACGUACGCAAGUAUGAAACUUAAAGGAAUUGGCGGGGGAGCACCACAAGGGGUGAAGCCUGCGGUUCAAUUGGAGUCAACGCCAGAAAUCUUACCCGGAGAGACAGCAGAAUGAAGGUCAAGCUGAAGACUUUACCAGACAAGCUGAGAGGUGGUGCAUGGCCGUCGCCAGCUCGUGCCGUGAGAUGUCCUGUUAAGUCAGGUAACGAGCGAGAUCCCUGCCUCUAGUUGCCACCAUUACUCUCAGGAGUAGUGGGGCGAAUUAGCGGGACCGCCGCAGUUAAUGCGGAGGAAGGAAGGGGCCACGGCAGGUCAGUAUGCCCCGAAACUCUGGGGCCACACGCGGGCUGCAAUGGUAACGACAAUGUGUUCCGAAUCCGAAAGGAAGAGGUAAUCCUCAAACGUUACCACAGUUAUGACUGAGGGCUGCAACUCGCCCUCACGAAUAUGGAAUCCCUAGUAACUGCGUGUCAUUAUCGCGCGGUGAAUACGUCCCUGCUCCUUGCACACACCGCCCGU
rnacentral:rRNA from 1 species